AGAUAUCAAAGCUAGUUUUUUCUUUGUUAAAGUAUGGAUUAUCCCUCUACUUGGAAGUGUACUAGUAUUUUAGAGAUUACAAAUUACCCUCCUCUAAACUGAUACUUCUUUUGUUACAAUAUUGGAGUCUUAUUCUUCUUGGAGAGAGUGGAUUACCCUUUUUCUUGAAGCUCUUAAGGCAUUUUAGAAGUUGCGGAGUACCC
rnacentral:lncRNA from 1 species